rnacentral:rRNA from 1 species
CACGUAUUUAGCCGGUGCUUCUUAUUCAGGUACCGUCAUUUCUUCUUCCCUGCCGAUAGGGCUUUACAUACCGAAAUACUUCCUCGCCCACGCGGCGUCGCUGCAUCAGGGUUCCCCCCAUUGUGCAAUAUUCCCCACUGCUGCCUCCCGCAGGAGUCUGGGUCGUGUCUCAGUCCCAAUGUGGCCGGCCGCCCUCUCAGGCCGGCUACUGAUCGUCGGUUUGGUGGGCCGCUGCCCCGCCAACUGCCUAAUCAGACGCGGGCCCAUCCCAUACCACCGGAGUUUUCCGCUGGGAGCCAUGCGGCCCCCAGCGCUUAUGCGGUGUUAGCAGCCGUUUCCGGCUGUUAUCCCCCGGUAUGGGGCAGGUUGCCCACGCGUUACUCACCCGUCCGCCACUAGACCGCGGGGUCUCCCUCCCCGGAAGGGACUUCCUCCCCGCCGCCCCGUUCGACCUUGCAUCGUGUUAAGCACGCCGCCAGCGUUCACUCCUGAGCCAGGAUACCAAACUCU